AGCAGCUCAUUGGGCGUAAAGCGUGCGCAGGCGGUUUUGUAAGACAGAGGUGAAAUCCCCGGGCUCAACCUGGGAACUGCCUUUGUGACUGCAAAGCUGGAGUGCGGCAGAGGGGGAUGGAAUUCCGCGUGUAGCAGUGAAAUGCGUAGAUAUGCGGAGGAACACCGAUGGCGAAGGCAAUCCCCUGGGCCUGCACUGACGCUCAUGCACGAAAGCGUGGGGAGCAAACA
rnacentral:rRNA from 1 species